UCUACAGUGCACGACCGGACCCUCCCUACCCUCUUUUCUUCAAUUGUUCUUUUAUUCUCAAUUUUCUGUGCGGCCGUGCUCUCUCCUCGCCACUGCAACCACAAGUUCCAACAUCACCACCCACUCAAGUCACCGGCCAGCCAUCUUCUUUCCGUAAGAAACCACCCACAAACCUUAUUUACUGUAAUGAUUUCCAAACCAAGAGACUUUCUUUGAUACUUUUUGGAUUGGCAACAAAAGGGUUGGCUCAUUGGAUAAUACUUGACGCGUGUUGCUUAAGCUUGUAAAGUUUGUGUCUACAAGAGGUUAGGAAAUGUUCAGGAUCGACUGCCGAAGGCGUGACAGUGCGGUGUAGCCCAUGUAUAUUAGAUG